CAAUAAACUUCCUAUACAACUCAAACAUCCUUCUCUAGGUUCAAGUGAUUUGGGGUUUUAUUCUCCAUCUCUCGUAUCUAACUUACCGAGUGUGGAUGCCUCACUUGCAUGAUUCCAUAAUAGUGCCUUGUCUCAGUUCUUGGCAUCGUUUCAUCUAUAUCAUCCAUCAUUUCCAAUCAAUUUUGAGAGAUUGGUAAACCUCCACCAAUUCAGAGUCACUCAUUUCGAGAUCCACGGCUGGGUAGCAUUAACUCCAUCUUCAAGGCAAUAUUAGAAAAUGGAGGGAUAGAAGUCGUUGCUUCAUGUUAAUCUAAUUUUAAACUUCCGAUUUCUUCCAACAAGAAGUUCAAGCUUCAAGCUAUCCAACCACCACUUCCGAAGAUCUAUGGCUCGCUAGAUGGCCCACCUGUUACAGUGUCUGGAAUAAAACUCAUGUUAUACCCAUAUCUCUGGAAGUUGUUGAAGAACUAGGAAUUUAUGUGUUGUCUUUUGAUAGAGCUGGGUAUGGAGAGAGCGAUCCUAAUCCAAAAGGAAUAGUGAAGAGUACAACUUUAGAUAUUGAAGAACUUGCAUACAUUAGUGUUGCUUCAGUUUAAAAAGUUUAGACUAGAGAGGACUACUUUCAGUCCUACUAUACCCAAACCACAUUGCACUAGAGAGGACUAUUUUCAGUCCUACUAUAUGCCAAGAAAAGCAUUGGGGUUCCACCUUUCUUGAAAUCUGAUUUAAUUUCAGGGUUCCACUACUUAGAUUCUUAAAUUUUUAUGUCACUUUAAUUAGUAGCUUAUUUAGUAUUUUGGACCUUUAUAUUCUUAAUUAAUGAUUGAGCCUACACCGAAUAAUUCGAUACAUGCAAGAUAGAAGGGCAAAAAAGUUUGUAAUCAUGUUGUUGAUUUUGCUACUUCACAUUCAGUUUAUUCUCAAAGCAAGACACACAAAAGAAGAUAUGGGCUCAAAAGUACACCCAAGAGGAAAACACAAUAGACUUCAAAAUAAUUUUUGUCAUCAAUUAACUCUAUUUUGGUUCUAAGUAUAGACAUGUAAAUGCUUUUACAGUUGCUUGGCAUGGCA